GAGUUUGAUUCUGGCUCAGGAUGAACGCUGGCGGCGUGCUUAACACAUGCAAGUCGAACGAAGCGAGAAGAAAGAAGUUUUUCGAAAUGGAUUUUUUCUUUGCUUAGUGGCGGACGGGUGCGUAACACGUAGGUAACCUGCCCUGUGCUUGGGAAUAACUCCGGGAAACCGGUGCUAAUGCCGAAUAAUAUCGCCUGUCGGCAUCGAGAGGCGAUCAAAGAAUUUUGGCACAGGAUGGGCCUGCGCCGGAUUAGCUGGUUGGUGAGGUAACGGCUCACCAAGGCGACGAUCCGUAGCCGACCUGAGAGGGUGAUCGGCCACACUGGAACUGAGACACGGUCCAGACUCCUACGGGAGGCAGCAGUGGGGAAUAUUGCACAAUGGGGGAAACCCUGAUGCAGCAACGCCGCGUGAGCGAUGAAGGCUUUCGAGUCGUAAAGCUCUGUCCUAUGGGAAGAUGAUGANCGUACNUAGAGAGCCG
rnacentral:rRNA from 1 species